GACGAACGCUGGCGGCGUGCCUAAUACAUGCAAGUAGAACGCACAGUUUAUACCGUAGCUUGCUACACCAUAGACUGUGAGUUGCGAACGGGUGAUUAACGCGUAGGUAACCUGCCUGGUAGCGGGGGAUAACUAUUGGAAACGAUAGCUAAUACCGCAUAAUAUUGAUUAUUGCAUGAUAAUUAAUUGAAAGGUGCAAUUGCACCACUACCAGAUGGACCUGCGUUGUAUUAGCUAGUAGGUGAGGUAACGGCUCACCUAGGCGACGAUACAUAGCCGACCUGAGAGGGUGAUCGGCCACACUGGGACUGAGACACGGCCCAGACUCCUACGGGAGGCAGCAGUAGGGAAUCUUCGGCAAUGGACGAAAGUCUGACCGAGCAACGCCGCGUGAGUGAAGAAGGUUUUCGGAUCGUAAAGCUCUGUUGUAAGAGAAGAACGGGUGUGAGAGUGGAAAGUUCACACUGUGACGGUAUCUUACCAGAAAGGGACGGCUAACUACGUG
rnacentral:rRNA from 1 species